AUGACCGACGGCGGUCCGGAGGCGGCGCCGCUGGAGUUCCCCUCGGCGGAGUGGCGGCGCGUCUACGACCGGCUCCAGGGGCUGCUGCCGCGGGUGGAGGCGCUCGCCGCCGACCGCGCGCGCCUGGAGGAGGCCGUCAAGCUGUCGGACGCCCGCGAGAAGAGCCUCCAUGCCCGCCUCCUCCAGGCGGAGGCGAGCAGGGAGAGGUGGAAGGCGGCCUACUCCGAGCUUCCUCCCGGUGCCAAUCCCAAGCUCGCCGAACUUCAAGAGCGUGACUUGGCGGAUUCCGAAGCCCGUGAAGCUCUUCCUGAUGCCGACAACUCUCAACUGAAGGUGUCCAUGGAGACUAGUCAAAAGCGCAGGAAGCUUACCAAUGGGGAGACUAGUCAAAAAAAGCGCACGAAGCUUACCAAUGGGGAGGCGCCUGAAGCUUACCAAUGA
rnacentral:rRNA from 1 species